rnacentral:lncRNA from 1 species
AAAUAGUGACUUUGACACUUCAAAUAAAAAUCUGAAGCCCACAUCUCCUUUCUUAUGUCGGCACAUCUUCAACCAAGAUGGCCAGCCAACGUUUACUUUUGCCCUCUUGUUGUUCCAAACAAAUCUUGCAAAAAAUCUAUGAAUUUCAUUGAUGGUGGAUUUAGUGGAGGCAAUUGUAGAUAGGAGAUAUCAUGGCAUACUAAGAACACUAUUUAUCAG